CACAUCUUGUCCCAAGUCCUCAGCAGCACUAACUUGCAUGUAGCUGUCAUCUCCUGCGACAACAAUGCCUUCUUCUGGAAGACCUCCUGAAGGAGCUGCCUGAAACGCUUCAGAGGAGCUGCCACUCAUUUCAUAGGUCAAUCACUCGACGUGGCCUCUUACGUCCAACAUAAGAUGUGGGCUUUGCACGCUUGGGGACCAUAAUGAAAAAAAAAAGAGAUUAAAUGAAGCACAAGGGAAAACAAUGCAAUCAAGAGACACGGAAGAAGAGGAGGAGCCAUAUCAGACUUUGAGAGGACAUACUGGGAGGACGGCGGAGAUAUAGGUUCAUGCAUGAGUAUUUUGCACGUCAACAGUCCUAUCUGAUUACAGUGGUACCUCAGAACUCGAAAUUAAUCCGUUCAGAACUCCGGAUCGAAUCCUAAAAAGUUCAAGUUCUGAUCGACUUUUCCCCAUAAGAAAAAAUGGAAAACCAAUUAAUUGGUUCCCGG